rnacentral:lncRNA from 1 species
AGUUUGAAAAUCCGCUUUUAUUUCUUGACUCGGUUAUUUCCGGUUCACAUUUUCUUGCUGCAGUGAAGACCAAAAAAAACAGCGCAGUAGCUACAAGAUCUUACACAGCGUGAACAAGACAGUCAGAGUGACGCAUCCAUGGCUGCCAGCGGGGAAGAAAAAUGAACGAUUAGAACACUGUCCUGCACUGGGCGGGGAACAGUCUAUGUCAGGGGUGUUCAAAGUCAGUCCUGGAGGGCCGGCCUCCUGCUGGUUUUCCAGAUCUUCUGCUGAUUGCCUGGUUCAGGUUUUUAGCCAAUAAGGAGCUUCAAUGGCAGGUUGGUUGGAAAACAUGUAGGACACCGGCCCUUGAGGCCUGACUUUGGACACCCCUGGUCUAUGUGCUGCUCAGUGUGGUACAGGGGGUGGGAGGGGCAAACCAUCAAUCUGUGCAGCCCUUAGCCCAGGACACAACAGCAUACAGCACUGCUCAGGCCACCACUGAACCAAAAGAGUCCAGAAAGGUCCCUGCACGCACCAAAAGACCUGAUAUCACAGCAUCAAGACGUCUACUGGGUACAUCACAAAUAGUGCCGGUGUCCAUGGAUGCUCCACUAGAAGAUGAAUGUUCCAGGUGAGAACAGAAGAUUCCUCAACAGGAAGCAUGUCCAGAAGAGGAUCCUGACCAAUGACCAGCCAAUAACAUGAAAGCUCCUGUCAAAGUCUGCUUAAAGUCCCCCUUUGACAUAAAUAGCGUUCCAAGAAGUGUUUUAAUUAUGAUUAAAAUGUCUUUUUUUACCAAAAAUCCACAACCUAAAUGUCUUAAAAAGCCAUUUUU